rnacentral:rRNA from 1 species
UACGUAGGGACCGAGCGUUGUCCGGAAUCAUUGGGCGUAAAGAGCGUGUAGGCGGCUUUACAGGUCCGUUGUGAAAACUCGAGGCUCAACCUCGAGACGCCGGUGGAAACCGUAAAGCUAGAGUCCGGAAGAGGAGAGUGGAAUUCCUGGUGUAGCGGUGGAAUGCGCAGAUAUCAGGAGGAACACCGGUGGCGAAGGCGGGUCUCUGGGCAGUAACUGACGCUGAGGAGCGAAAGCGUGGGGAGCGAACAGG